AGCUGUUGGCAGUAGAGCUGUUGGAAGUAGAGCUGUCUGAAGUAGAGCUGUUAUAAAAAGCUGUUUGCUGUUUGGUAAUUACAUUCGUAAAGUGCUGUGGUACUUUGUUUUGUGUUUGGUAAACAAACUGAGAAAGUACUUUUGUAUGACAAAAUUACCAUAAAGAACAUUGCAUAGUAUUAUACAACAGAACAUAAUAAAACAUAACAUAAAUUAAUACAUAAAUAUAUGAUAUAGUAUAAUAUUAUUGUAAUAUAAAAUAAUAUUAUGUUAAUAUCGCAUAAUAGUAAUAUAAUUAUUAGAGUAAAAUAAUAUUUGGUAAUAUAACAUAAUAUUAAAUUAUUUAACAUAACAUAUUAAUGUAUUAUGAUAUAAUGUAAUAUAUAUUAUAUUUAUAGUAUAAUACAAUAAUAAAAGUAUAAAAUAUUAUAAUUAUUAGUAUAAAUUAAUUUCUUAUAAUAUA
rnacentral:lncRNA from 1 species